rnacentral:rRNA from 1 species
GAUGAACGCUGGCGGCGUGCCUAAUACAUGCAAGUCGAGCGAGAAAUCACAUUGCUAAUUCUUCGGAAGAAGUAAAGUGAUGGAAAGCGGCGGACGGGUGAGUAACGCGUAGGCAACCUGCCUCUCACAGGGGGAUAGCCAUCGGAAACGGUGAUUAAUACCCCAUAAAGUCAAAAUAACACAUGUUAAGCUGACCAAAGAUUUAUCGGUGAGAGAUGGGCCUGCGUCUGAUUAACUAGUUGGUGAGGUAACGGCUCACCAAGGUGACGAUCAGUAGCCGACCUGAGAGGGUGAACGGCCACAUUGGAACUGAGACACGGUCCAAACUUCUGCGGAAGGCAGCAGUAGGGAAUCUUGCACAAUGGGCGAAAGCCUGAUGCAGCAACGCCGCGUGAAGGAAGAAGGCCUUAGGGUCGUAAACUUCUGUUCUUGGGGAAGAACAAAUGACGGU